UACGGAGGGUGCAAGCGUUGUUCGGAAUUAUUGGGCGUAAAGAGCGUGUAGGCGGCUUGGUAAGUCUGCUGUGAAAACUCGGGGCUCAACCCCGAGACGUCGGUGGAAACCACCUGGCUAGAGUCCGGAAGAGGAGAGUGGAAUUCCUGGUGUAGCGGUGAAAUGCGCAGAUAUCAGGAAGAACACCCGUGGCGAAGGCGGCUCUCUGGGACGGUACUGACGCUGAGACGCGAAAGCGUGGGGAGCGAACAGG
rnacentral:rRNA from 1 species